rnacentral:rRNA from 1 species
GACGAACGCUGGCGGCGUGCUUAACACAUGCAAGUCGAACGGAAAGGCCCUGCUUUUGUGGGGUGCUCGAGUGGCGAACGGGUGAGUAACACGUGAGUAACCUGCCCUUGACUUUGGGAUAACUUCAGGGAACUGGGGCUAAUACCGGAUAGGAGCUCCUGCUGCAUGGUGGGGGUUGGAAAAUUUCGGCGGUUGGGGAUGGACUCGCGGCUUAUCAGCUUGUUGGUGGGGUAGUGGCUUACCAAGGCUUUGACGGGUAGCCGGCCUGAGAGGGUGACCGGCCACAUUGGGACUGAGAUACGGCCCAGACUCCUACGGGAGGCAGCAGUGGGGAAUAUUGCACAAUGGGCGGAAGCCUGAUGCAGCAACGCCGCGUGCGGGAUGACGGCCUUCGGGUUGUAAACCGCUUUCGCCUGUGACGAAGCGUGAGUGACGGUAAUGGGUAAAGAAGCACCGGCUAACUACGUG